rnacentral:rRNA from 1 species
AAAUUGAAGAGUUUGAUCAUGGCUCAGAUUGAACGCUGGCGGCAGGCCUAACACAUGCAAGUCGAGCGGUAGCACAGAGAGCUUGCUCUCGGGUGACGAGCGGCGGACGGGUGAGUAAUGUCUGGGAAACUGCCUGAUGGAGGGGGAUAACUACUGGAAACGGUAGCUAAUACCGCAUAACGUCGCAAGACCAAAGUGGGGGACCUUCGGGCCUCAUGCCAUCAGAUGUGCCCAGAUGGGAUUAGCUAGUAGGUGGGGUAAUGGCUCACCUAGGCGACGAUCCCUAGCUGGUCUGAGAGGAUGACCAGCCACACUGGAACUGAGACACGGUCCAGACUCCUACGGGAGGCAGCAGUGGGGAAUAUUGCACAAUGGGCGCAAGCCUGAUGCAGCCAUGCCGCGUGUGUGAAGAAGGCCUUCGGGUUGUAAAGCACUUUCAGCGGGGAGGAAGGCGGUGAGGUUAAUAACCUCAUCGAUUGACGUUACCCGCAGAAGAAGCACCGGCUAACUCCGUGCCAGCAGCCGCGGUAAUACGGAGGGUGCAAGCGUUAAUCGGAAUUACUGGGCGUAAAGCGCACGCAGGCGGUCUGUCAAGUCGGAUGUGAAAUCCCCGGGCUCAACCUGGGAACUGCAUUCGAAACUGGCAGGCUAGAGUCUUGUAGAGGGGGGUAGAAUUCCAGGUGUAGCGGUGAAAUGCGUAGAGAUCUGGAGGAAUACCGGUGGCGAAGGCGGCCCCCUGGACAAAGACUGACGCUCAGGUGCGAAAGCGUGGGGAGCAAACAGGAUUAGAUACCCUGGUAGUCCACGCCGUAAACGAUGUCGAUUUGGAGGUUGUGCCCUUGAGGCGUGGCUUCCGGAGCUAACGCGUUAAAUCGACCGCCUGGGGAGUACGGCCGCAAGGUUAAAACUCAAAUGAAUUGACGGGGGCCCGCACAAGCGGUGGAGCAUGUGGUUUAAUUCGAUGCAACGCGAAGAACCUUACCUGGUCUUGACAUCCACAGAACUUUCCAGAGAUGGAUUGGUGCCUUCGGGAACUGUGAGACAGGUGCUGCAUGGCUGUCGUCAGCUCGUGUUGUGAAAUGUUGGGUUAAGUCCCGCAACGAGCGCAACCCUUAUCCUUUGUUGCCAGCGGUUCGGCCGGGAACUCAAAGGAGACUGCCAGUGAUAAACUGGAGGAAGGUGGGGAUGACGUCAAGUCAUCAUGGCCCUUACGACCAGGGCUACACACGUGCUACAAUGGCAUAUACAAAGAGAAGCGACCUCGCGAGAGCAAGCGGACCUCAUAAAGUAUGUCGUAGUCCGGAUUGGAGUCUGCAACUCGACUCCAUGAAGUCGGAAUCGCUAGUAAUCGUAGAUCAGAAUGCUACGGUGAAUACGUUCCCGGGCCUUGUACACACCGCCCGUCACACCAUGGGAGUGGGUUGCAAAAGAAGUAGGUAGCUUAACCUUCGGGAGGGCGCUUACCACUUUGUGAUUCAUGACUGGGGUGAAGUCGUAACAAGGUAACCGUAGGGGAACCUGCGGUUGGAUCACCUCCUUACCUUAAAGAA